UACGAAGGGGGCGAGCGUUGUUCGGAAUUACUGGGCGUAAAGGGUGCGUAGGCGGUCUGUUUAGUCAGAUGUGAAAGCCCCAGGCUUAACCUGGGAAUUGCAUUUGAUACUGACAGACUAGAGUUUUGGAGAGGGUAGCGGAAUUCCCAGUGUAGAGGUGAAAUUCGUAGAUAUUGGGAAGAACACCAAUGGCGUAGGCAGCUACCUGGCCAAAAACUGACGCUAAGGCACGAAAGCGUGGGGAGCAAACAGG
rnacentral:rRNA from 1 species